UAUUUAUAGAGAGAGAGAGAGAGAGAGAGAGAGAGAGAGACAGUGGGAUAGAGCGGGAGAGAAGUAUUGUAACCCGCUCUAAUACUUUACUAAAAUAUUACUGCGCAGUAAUAGCGCAAUAGCGAUUUGUUAUUUUUAUAUUUUCUUCCCUCUCUCUCUCUCUCUCUCUCUCUCUCUCCGUCGCCGUCUCUCUCU
rnacentral:miRNA from 1 species